GACGAACGCUGGCGGCGUGCCUAAUACAUGCCAGUUGAGCGCUGAAGGUUGGUACUUGUACCGACUGGAUGAGCAGCGCACGGGUGAGUAACGCGUGGGGAAUCUGCCUUUGAGCGGGGGACAACAUUUGGAAACGAAUGCUAAUACCGCAUAAAAACUUUAAACACAAGUUUUAAGUUUUAAAGAUGCAAUUGCAUCACUUAAAGAUGAUCCCGCGUUGUAUUAGCUAGUUGGUGAGGUAAAGGCUCACCAAGGCGAUGAUACCUAGCCGACCUGAGAGGGUGAUCGGCCACAUUGGGACUGAGACACGGCCCAAACUCCUACCGGAGGCAGCAGUAGGGAAACUUCGGCAAUGGACGAAAGUCUGAACGAGCCACGCCGCGUGAGUGAAGAAGGUUUUCGGAUCGUAAAACUCUGUUGGUAGAGAAGAACGUUGGUGAGAGUGGAAAGCUCAUCAAGUGACGGUAACUACACAGAAAGGGACGGCUAACUACGUG
rnacentral:rRNA from 1 species